rnacentral:tRNA from 1 species
GUAGUCAUGGCCACGAGGUGAAGGCGAUGGAGUAGAAAUCAUUGGCUGUUGCAUGUGCAGGUUUGAAUCUUGCUGACUAUA